rnacentral:lncRNA from 1 species
UAGCCUAUCGUAUCGCUUUACCGCCGUCGCUUGCGAAUUUGCAUGAGGUUUUUCAUGUGUCUCAAUUGAGGAGGUACAUUCAUGAUCCGUCGCAUGUAGUCCAAAUAGAUGAUGUACAUGUGAGAGAUAACCUGACUGUUGAAACAUCACCUAUGAGGAUCGAGGAUUGAGAGUUGAAGCAGUUGCGGGGUAAAGAUAUUGCCUUGGUGAAGGUAGCUUGGGGAGGACCAGCAG